CGGGUGAGCAAUUAAAGGGCAAUCUGCCCUGCACUCUGGGACAAGCCCUGGCAAUGGGGUCUAAUACCGGAUACUGACCGUCACGGGCAUCCGUGAGGGUCGAAAGCUCCGGCGGUGCAGGAUGAGCCCGCGGCCUAUCAGCUUGUUGGUGAGGUAACGGCUCACCAAGGCGACGACGGGUAGCCGGCCUGAGAGGGCGACCGGCCACACUGGGACUGAGACACGGCCCAGACUCCUACGGGAGGCAGCAGUGGGGAAUAUUGCACAAUGGGCGAAAGCCUGAUGCAGCGACGCCGCGUGAGGGAUGACGGCCUUCGGGUUGUAAACCUCUUUCAGCAGGGAAGAAGCGAAAGUGACGGUACCUGCAGAAGAAGCGCCGGCUAACUACGUGCCAGCAGCCGCGGUAAUACGUAGGGCGCGAGCGUUGUCCGGAAUUAUUGGGCGUAAAGAGCUCGUAGGCGGCUUGUCACGUCGGUUGUGAAAGCCCGGGGCUUAACCCCGGGUCUGCAGUCGAUACGGGCAGGCUAGAGUUCGGUAGGGGAGAUCGGAAUUCCUGGUGUAGCGGUGAAAUGCGCAGAUAUCAGGAGGAACACCGGUGGCGAAGGCGGAUCUCUGGGCCGAUACUGACGCUGAGGAGCGAAAGCGUGGGGAGCGAACAGGAUUAGAUACCCUGGUAGUCCACGCCGUAAACGGUGGGCACUAGGUGUGGGCGACAUUCCACGUCGUCCGUGCCGCAGCUAACGCAUUAAGUGCCCCGCCUGGGGGAGUACGGCCGCAAGGCUAAAACUCAAAGGAAUUGACGGGGGGCCCGCA
rnacentral:rRNA from 1 species